rnacentral:rRNA from 1 species
GGGCCCGCACAAGCGGCGGAGCAUGCGGAUUAAUUCGAUGCAACGCGAAGAACCUUACCUGGGUUUGACAUCGCCGGAAAUCUCGCAGAGAUGCGGGGUCCUUCGGGGCCGGUGACAGGUGGUGCAUGGCUGUCGUCAGCUCGUGUCGUGAGAUGUUGGGUUAAGUCCCGCAACGAGCGCAACCCUCGUUCCAUGUUGCCAGCACGUUAUGGUGGGGACUCAUGGGAGACUGCCGGGGUCAACUCGGAGGAAGGUGGGGAUGACGUCAAGUCAUCAUGCCCCUUAUGUCCAGGGCUUCACGCAUGCUACAAUGGCCGGUACAAUGGGCUGCGAUACCGUGAGGUGGAGCGAAUCCCAAAAAGCCGGUCUCAGUUCGGAUCGGGGUCUGCAACUCGACCCCGUGAAGUCGGAGUCGCUAGUAAUCGCAGAUCAGCAACGCUGCGGUGAAUACGUUCCCGGGCCUUGUACACACCGCCCGUCACGUCACGAAAGUCGGCAACACCCGAAGCCCAUGGCCCAACCCGUGAGGGAGGGAGUGGUCGAAGGUGGGGCUGGCGAUUGGGACG